rnacentral:rRNA from 1 species
GACGAACGCUGGCGGCGUGCUUAACACAUGCAAGUCGAGCGGUAAGGCCCUUUCGGGGGUACACGAGCGGCGAACGGGUGAGGUAACACGUGGGUGACCUGCCCUCAGCUCUGGGAUAAGCCUGGGAAACCGGGUCUAAUACUGGAUAUGACUCCAUGACGCAUGUUGUGGGGUGGAAAGCCUUGUGCGGCUGAGGAUGGGCCCGCGGCCUAUCAGCUUGUUGGUGGGGUGANGGCCUACCAAGGCGACGACGGGUAGCCGGCCCUGAGAGGGGCGACCGGCCACACUGGGACUGAGACACGGCCCAGACUCCGUACGGGAGGCAGCAGUGGGGGAAUCUUGCGCAAUGGGCGAAAGCCUGACGCAGCGACGCCGCGUGA